UUAUAGCUCAGUCGGUAGAGUCUGAGACUCUUAAUCUCCAGGUUGUGGGUUUGAGCCCAACACUGGGCAAAA